AUUGAACGCUGGCGGCAGGCCUAACACAUGCAAGUCGAACGAGUGGCGGACGGGUGAGUAAUGUCUGGGAAACUGCCUGAUGGAGGGGGAUAACUACUGGAAACGGUAGCUAAUACCGCAUACCAUCGGAUGAGCCCAGAUGGCAUUAGCUAGUAGGUGGGGUCAUGGCUCACCUAGGCGAAGAUCCCUAGCUGGUCUGAGAUGAUGAACAGCCACACUGGAACUGAUACACGGUCCAGACUCCUACGGGAGGCAGCAGUGGGGAAUAUUGCACAAGGGGCGCAAGCCUGAUGCAGCCAUGCCGCGUGUAUGAAGAAGGCCUUCGGGUUGUAAAGUACUUUCAGCGGGGAGGCGUUACCCGCAGAAGAAGCACCGGCGAACUCCGUGCCAGCAGCCGCGGUAAUAC
rnacentral:rRNA from 1 species